UUCCAUCACAUUAGGAGCACUGCCCCAGUGCCCAGCCUGGUCCGGGUACCAGGAGUGUAUCCCUGGCACUCAGGGGGCAUGUGCAAGAGCAAGAAAUUGAGUGCCCACUGGCUGCCAUCUUUCUUCCACCUGCACUGACUUCCUUGCCCAUUCUCACUUGCCACUCUGCACGCUGCUUCCUCUCCUAUGGAGGGAGGAGCCGGGGCCAGACCAAAACAGGGGAAGACGACGGUGACUACUUCAGGGGUGAGCCAGGAGCCAGAUGGGUGAGUAGCCUAGGCGGAAAGUGGUAGAGGGGAGAGUCAUUUUCAAAAACUUGUGGAAAACUCUAGGAUCUGGUCUUGCAGGACCUGGGCAAGUCACUGUGAUUGGGUGUGACUGCGUCCUUAGCUGUCAACUGUGGUGCCCUCCAUGCACGAACUCCUCCCAGGGUGUCUGCAGGAACCCAGGGUCUGGAAAGGUGCUCUCCAGUGUGUGUGUGUGUGUGUGUGUGUGUGUGUGUGUGUGUGUACACGUGUGCACACCAGGGUUAGCAGUGUGAGAAGCAAUAAUGGUAACAGCAGAGCCUGCUGCACUGAACACCUCUAUGCACUACACUAAGGUGGACAAGAGAGGACGUACAGGAGCCCCCGAGGGCAGAGGGCUGCUCACAGCCUCUGUCCCCCACCAUAUCUCUAUACACACCAGGCCAGCUUUCCCAGAAUUCUAGAAGGAGGGAGCAGGCCUUCUAUACCUGGUAAGCCUUGGGGGCCAUCAGGAGGAAGUCCUUCAAGAGUAUGCUAUAUACAAGAACCGUGGGGAGACUGGGGUGGGGUACCAGACCGGGAUCAACCCAGGCCAUUCUGUUCAGUGGGUUGGUACCCCCAAAGUGGCCUUGGCUGGAUAAACGCUUGUUGCUCUCAAGGAGUUCUCCCAGUAGUGGCUCCAGUGAUUCCCAGCAGGCCCCCAAGAGGGCUGCAGCCCCCUGCGGUCCCUAGCCUUUGCCCAGCCUGUAGGCCACAUUGUGUCCAUGGCCCCAUGCUGCUCUUUUCACUCAUUCUGCAUGGCCAGUGGUAGGCAGUGUCUUUGAAGUCCUGUUUUCUGUUCCAGUUGGAAACUUUGCUCAGAACCAAAAUUAGAGAGGCUGUACCAUCAGUUUGCAAUUUAAAAUGCCACCAAGGCCUCUUCUCCCCUCCCCCCUUUUAAAAUGUCAUCUUAAUUAGAUGGCACCUGGCUUCAUGUUUUCUGAAUUUCAAGAUAAUUUCCUGAAGGCCUUUUCUUCCUUGUAGUUAUUUUUAUCCUCAAUGUACGGUGGAGGGAGUGACGGCAGCCUGUGUCUCUCGUAGCUCAGCAGUCAGGGUGGGUGGGCUGUCCACUAGCUCCAGAGGUUGGAGAAACCCAGUUGGAGGGGUGGCCAGGCCACUCCAUGUAAUUCAGCACACAUUCUAGACAUUUCUUGGACUUAGGGUCAUGCUAGGGGCAGGAAGGGAAGAAGCGGGGGCAGCUGGGGCCAGGUGCCCUGUCUCUCCCCUCUCCUCUCCUCUUGCUCACUAGGACAGUCACUCAUUUUCUUUGGUAGUCAUCCCUUUCAACAAAGAGGGAACAGGUAGCAUUGGGGCUAGUCUGCUGUGGCAUCUCGAGGAACUGUGGCCAUUUCUCUGCUCCAUCUACCAUGGGCACAUUAGGGGAGACCCGUUAGAACCUGAUUCAGGUUUUCCUAAAAUUCAUGUGCUGUGAUGUCAACCCCCCGUCACACAGAAUACAACUGUGUUCCGGGGUACAAUCUUUAAAGAGGUGCAGCUGAGAUGAGAUCAUGAAGGUCCUUGUCAGCAUGACUGACAUCUUGUAAGAGAUUAAGGCACAGACACCCAGGGAAGGAAGACCAUUUGAAAACACAGGACAAGAUGCUCUCCUACAGCACGUGGAGAAAGGUCCCAGAAGAGACCAGCCCUGCUGCCUCCUUGAUCUGACUUUCAGCCUCUACAACCACGAGACAAUAGAUGUCUGUCAUCCAAGUCCCCAAUCCGUGGGACUUUGGCCAACUUAAAACCGACACAGCUCCCAAGUCCCCUCCCCAGGCUGUGGCACACACACACUUCUCUUCAUCGUCCUGCACUCUACCCCGGGCUGUGGCACACACACACUUCUCUUCAUCGUCCUGCACUCUACCGACAGGCCAGGCAGGCUCCGGAGCCCCACCUCCAGUGUGUCACUCACAGCCAUUUUUGUUCCUACCACUUAACUACCCUGCCCCUCUCCAGGCUUUGCACAGGCCCCUGAUGCCAGUUCCAGACUGGCCCAGAUGGAGCUCCAGGCCUUUGCUCUGACUCCUCCAGAUCUCCAGGCUCUAAGAGUCUCCUCCUCCUCUUUUGUCUCAGUCUAAACAGAACCCACAAGAGAAGGGUAAUUCUGGCCUCCUCGGCACCCACUCCCCAAACUGUCAAAAGCAGAUUUCUCUGCUCUUAUCUCAGCACGCUUUUCACUUCUUUAAUUGAACCAUCUCAGUAUGAAACCCGGAAGAGCGGAUAAGCUAUGAGAGGAAAGCAGGACUCUAGGACUUGCGGCUUUCCUGAUGCCUCCAGAGCACCUGGAGAAGUGUGUUGGCUGUGUUCCAGCAGAGGGGGCGUGUCUUCCCUUGGCAUCUACCUGCUCGACGGAAUGAAGGCUGCACUAGACAGACAGAGAAGGUAGCUCCUGCAGCUGGAGGCCAAUCCACUCAAGUAGAGAAGAUGCAGAGGACAAGUUCAACACCGGCUGAUAACCAUCAAGUCUCAGGGAUGGGCGGUAGUGGUCGGUGGGAGCUUAGACGCCAUACCACACCACUCUGAAUUUCGUCAUGCUGGAUCAUCUCUGAGGUCAUUGUCCACUGUCCACUGUCACUGCACCCUUGUGGCUGGCAUGCAGGGUUUUAGACAUCUGCAUGUCAGAAGAGCAAGUCAGACCUGCCCAAGUCUCACCACCAAGAUGUAGGCUCAAGCUCUGCCCCUUCUUGGAUGAUGCUUCUCAAUCUUCUCCACAUCAGUGUCUGUCACUCAAGAAAUGACUGGAGGGGAUUCCUUAGGCACACUGGUGAUACUCUGCAAGGUGUCAACACCUGGCUUUCCUCUGAGUAUCACAAUGGGCCCUGGAUCACACUAAUUGGUUGAGGGAUGGGUUUCUGUGUAUCAGCCUUGAAAAGACUGAGAGGGUAGCGUCUGGGUCUCUCUGAUGGAUCUUAUCCCAGCCAUGGCUGGGGCUGGCACAUCAAAAGCAUGAUGAAGUCAUAGAAGUAGCAUGGCAGGCUGCCGGGACUCCUGUAAGCCCUCUCUACUGACCUCACCCUGACUGGCCUUGGAAGUUCCAUUUCAGGCUAGAAACUUCCCUGAGAUAGCCCAGAGGUACCCAAGUCCAGGCAGAAUAAAUAGGCAUCAUGUCUUGGGUACAUGCUGGGUGCUGAGACAGCAUUUGAUCUUUGUGGAAAUUUGGGGUGGCAUUAUUUAUAGGCAGAAAAAGUGUUUACUUCUUAUAAAUCAUUCAAUUAAUUAUAAAGCAGUUGCUUGUAAUAAUUUGGGACAUGUAAGAACAAGGAAAUGUCAGGGCAAGCCACAAUUACAAAGCUUAGGACACUGGGUCAAGUGAGGAGCCAGUUACGUGGUGGAGAAAUCAGUAACACAGGAAGAGGUCCUAACAACUGGCAGGUCGGGGUGAGUCGUGUUCAAAGAACCCUCAGAGAAGUAGCCGGUACAUGAGCCCUAAACACGCAGGGCACUGUCCAUCACAGAACAGAACAUGCAGGCAAAACACCCAUACACAUAAAACAAAAAUUUCAAAAAUUCUCAAAAAAGAAAGAAAGAAAGAAAAAAGGGAGAAAGAAAAGAUGCUGCCCGCAUUUCCUCAUACAAGUCGGGAGGCGGAGACAGGAAGGAGGUGGCCAGCUCUAAGUUCCAGCACUGGUAUUUACCAGUGGAACUCAGCAGGAGUGAGGUAGGAACAAGCUCAGAUUGACCAGGAGCAGGGGGAGAAGCGAGUGGCGGGUGGCGGUGGAGAUUCUUCAGGAAAAAGUCACCAGCUUGAACUACCAAGUGGCCAGGGCACAGGGAUCCUGGGCUGGUACAGAAUCCUUGAGAAACAGAAUGCCACAGUGACCGGGAGAGUCCGAGAGCUGGAAAGAGGGAUGUGAGACCCAGGUGCCACUGUUGGAAGACCGUCGGUAGGACCCAAGGAUGGGGCACUCAGGGUCUCACAUCCCCCUAGUCGCACCUCCACGUGAACCAGCAACAACUCUGAGCAGAACCUGGGUUUGGAAGCCAGACCUGUCAGCCUCUGAGUCUAAACCACAACUUCACAAGUAGGUGGGGACCAGCAUAGCCUCUCAGCAGGGCCAGGAGUUCUCGUGAGUUAGUGCAGCCAGGCGCUCAAGUGAGACUUCACUACAGACCAGCAUACUGAGCUCCCAGGGACAGCACAGGGGCAAGGAAGUGCCAGACGGGCACUGGGUGACUCUGUGAAAGCUGAGAGGCAAAACGUCACCACACUAAUUCUUUGUGCAAACUUCCAGGAGGAAUGCAGGAAGCAGUGCCGGAUGUCCAGUCAGCUUCUCAGAGUUUCCCAAGAAGCACUCAGGAGAUGGAAAGGAAAGCUGAAGACAUGGUAAAGACAGACACACUCGUGAGGGAAGCGGAGGUCCCUCUCAAAGGAGAAACAGGAAGCUCAGGCCCCCGAGUGCCCCAAGAGGCCUUCUUUGGCCUUCUAAGCAUGGUCCCCAGAUCCAAGGAAAACGUCUCGGCUUAGCCACUGGUGAUGUGAAGAGACUGGGAGAGAUGUGGAACAACAUGGCUGAGUGCAAGGAACAAUACAAAAGGACAGUGCUGCCCACAGACAUAUGGGGCCUGGUGCGGGGGAGGGAGGGCAGGGAGGAGAGCUGUCAAGACUGAAAAGAGGAAAGGAAAGAAGAAAGAGCAUGAGGAAGAACAAGUUGGUUCUAGCUUUUUUUUUUGUCUAUAAAACAUUCAACCCACCAUGUACACAACUCCUUUUAAAGAAAAAAAAUUGAAGUGAGUAAGAUGUUUUUAAACUGAACAGUUACCCCGAUACCAAAUGUGUAGUUAUUCCUGUCCUGGGAUCUUACAGCAGACUCUUGCUGCCAUGCAGCACUGACUACUGAUGACUGUCCCCAUGGGGACAGUGGUUCUUUUCAUCUUCAGUUGUCUCUGAUAUAGCUCAUAUGGAAUACAUGCUUGUUAACUGAAUACUACUAUAUUGCAAAAAAAAAAAAAAAAGCAGCUGUUUGUUGACAUUCUGAAUACUUUCUAAGUAAAUACCAUUUUUUUUAAUUAAAAAAAAAAGAAUUCACUACAAUGGCCACUGCCUUACAAAUUGCAGACACCUACAGUCUCCUGCCAAAUCUCUCAGCCAACACCACAGCUUAGCUGUGUUCUACAUGGAAGGAAGGAUGAUGGAGCAUGUACAGCUGGGGUCUGGCUAAAAAUAACUCCUCAAAAACAAGAAAGUCAACAACAACAACUGAAUAUCAGUCUCCCCCUUAUAACACAUGACAGGUAAUUCUAUUUCUGAGCUAAGAGCUUAGAGGGCAGAUAGAGAGAACCUGGUUUCUAGUAUCUUCUUCCCAGGGCACUGAGACACGGUGCAGAACAGCUACCAGCUGGAGAAAGCUAUAAGCCAGGGUUAGGGCUUGGAAGUCUUGGUGACUUCCACAGCCAGUGCUUUGGACUCCCCAAUGCCUCCUCUGGAUGGGGCUCAAUCCUCAAAAGAAAACUCAAAUCACAGUGAUAUGCUCACUGAGGUCCAUGAACACUGGAGGCAGAGGGAAUUUGGUGCAACCAAGGCAGACCCAGCUCCACACGAUACUCCAUCAUGCCCAAGCUCUGCGGUCUGGAGCACUGUGCUGCUUGCUCUGUUCCUUGUCCACCAGUGUCAACUGUAUUCAUACAACUUGGGCUAACAGUAGAGUACUUGGGAACCUGAGGGAUUGUGCCCUUGCACUGGCUGCAGAGAGGUGAGACCGUGGCCCCUUGGGAGAGGGCAGGCAAACCCCGGCAUGCUAGGGAACUGGAGUGUGCCUAGCUUCUCCAACUAAAACUGUAGAUCGCUGCAACGUUGAAAUUAGUAGGAGAAAAGUCAAACUCAUUUGUAAAAUAACAUAUAAGAAAAAAAUUCCUCUAAGGGGCCCCCUAGCAGUAGGAUCAGGAUCCAUCCCUGGAGCAUGAGCUGGCUUUUUGGAGCCCACUACCUAUGGUGGGACACCUUGCACAGCCUUGAUGCAGGGGGAGGGGCUCAGACCUGCCUCAACUGAAUGUACCAGGCUCUGCUGACUCCCCAUGGGAGACCUUACCUUUUUGGAGGAGGGAAUAGGGGGUGGGUUGGGGAAGGAAGGGUGAGGGGCGGGAGGAGAGAAGAGAGGGGGACUGUGGUUGGUAAAAUGGAUAAAAAAUUUCUUAAUAAAAAAAUUAAAAAAAAAAAGAAAAGAACAAUUCCUCUUGUUGGUUCAGUUGGAAUCCCUGAAAGAGGCUACAUAAAAGGCUGGUGGUCUCAAGCAAUCUACCUGCCUGAGCCCCCUUUAUAUCCAGGACUUCAGGAACACACCACCACCUACAAAGCCAAGUUGCAUGUAUUUUCAUUUGCUUCUCAGGGAUCAGCCCAACGGCAUCAACCCGUUUUGCUGACAACUGUAUCGCCUAGCUGGCACAGGCACUGCAGACAAGCUUCUCCAACCUCUAUUCCUUCCUGUCCUGUCAUCGGAACUUUGGUCCAAUCCAUGGGACACCCCUGUCAUUACUCCUAAUAUGCCCCAUUUAUCAAACUCACCCACGAGAAAGCUGGAGGUGGGUAAUCUUAGAUCUGCUGCGGAUUAUGGGACUCGCCACACGCCAGCAUUCCCAUUGCUAAGCUCUCAACUUCUCUAGGUGCUAUGAGGGCUGAAGGAAGGAAAGAAGCCACUUCGACAGUGAGUGGGCAGUAGGUGUCAGCUCCUGUAUGUUGUACAGUUGGCUAAGGGUGUGCUGUAGCUAAGAGUCAGGUGGGUACUCAGGGCAGCCACCACCUGGCGUGACCAUUGCCUGGCACUUCUCUCCACUCUAAACUUCAGGUGCUAUGAACUGGACUCCACAGCUAGCAGCUUAGAUGCCUGAAGUACCGUGUGUGUGUGUGUGUGUGUGUGUGUGUGUGUGUGUGUGUGUGUGUGUGUGUGUGUGUCACACACACACACACACACACACACACGUACCUCACAGGAAUGUGCCCACAUAUGGUUGUACAGUUACACAUGGGUGUGGACACAUGUAUGCAUGCAUAACUACAUGCUUUUCAUUUCUGGGCUUGUAGCCUUAGAGCCUCAGGUUACAGUCACCCUGUUCAAUGAUAAAGUGUGGGCAUCUUAAAGGUUUCUGGGUUUGGGCUAGGCUGCCCUCUCCUCACAUAAACUGUGUUGAUUUCCAUCCUGCCGAAGAUGCCCUUUUGAUACCUGCUGCUCUGUGCAGAGCAUCCCCUCUGCUUGAGCCUUACACACAUUUAACAAUGUGCCCAAUCUCAGGUCUCCAUAAAUUAGGUGUGAGUGUAGCUUAGAGGUUUCAGUGUAUAGAAAGAGGCUUUCAAAAUCUCUGAGUUAUUUGAUAUAUCAAGUCAAUAGCUCAUUAUAAGAAGUAAUUCAGAGACAAGAGAGAGAGGGAAUAAGAGUUGUAGAGAAGAGUGCUGAUAGGCCUGGCCCCUUUGGGUUGGGUGGAGCUGGGGACCGUGGUGGCCCAGCAAAAACUUGGCAAUCACAGCUUUGCCAGUCACAUGCAGCAUCACGCCAGCCCCUUCUGAAAGGGCUUUUCAGGGGAUUCUGUGCAUUGGAUUUGA